AAUUCACUUUGUCAGCAGUUCAGGGAGAGCACUGGCAGGUUGGACAGGGAUUAGAGAUGGACAGCAAGAGCUGGGAACUGUGAAGAAGGUUCUGCUAAAUUUCAAGGAAUUUGGACUGCUGAGAGCAGCUUCCCAGUGGAUCCCUGCAAGGCUCUGGGAGUGCUCCCAGGAGAGUUUGCCAUGGCAGAAGAAGCAUUUCCAUGCUGCCUCUUCCUCUGCUUUGAGCAGGCCAACGCUGCCAGAUGGAAAUUGCCAAGGGCACGAGGCUGGCAAGUGAAGAGCAGAGCUGCUGUGAAGGGAAAGCUCAGUUCAUUCAGAGAGAUCACACAGGUCACUUGAGCACUGUUACAGGGAGGAAGCAGAAAAUGAGAGAUUUCCAGGAAAGCCUUUGUAGCUGGUGGGGAAAAGGAGUCGAGAUACCCAAUGGCUGCAGGGAUGGUGAUCCAAAUUAGUUCUGAGCAGAUUUCCUUUUUUUUUAUUUGGUGAGGGUUAUUAACCUUACCUGCAGCUUUAAGGCCAAAUAGUUUUGGAAUAUAUUCUAGUUUAAUCUAGCUGUCCUCCAUGCUGCAUACUCACAGCAGCCAUAUUUAACUAUCAUAUGAUGUGUGAAUUUGCUUGUGUCCCUAUCCCAAAUGUCAUCCUUCCUGGGUUUUCACCUUCUUUUUAACAUGCUAGUAAAUCUUCUGCAUCCCUCUGCAGUAUUUCCAUGGGUAAACCCACUGAAGAGCACAAGCUAAAGGAUGCCACCUCCAGCUGAGCACAGGGAGCAGUGGGAAAGGAUGUUAUAUCAGCUUUCCAUCUGCUGCUAGGAUGAAAAGAGAGCAAGAUUUUGAUUUAGGGAGCUGAAGACUGGGGCAGAUCAGUUUGUUCAAGCCGUGCCUGAGACUGAACACAGGGAUUGUACCUGUGCAUUUACAGGUUAUUCUGACAACCUGUCUGCUGCAGCUGCCAGAGAUCAGCUGCUCGUGGUUCCCUCAAAAAGGUUUGCUGACAAAUGACUUUUACAAGGUCAGGUUGUCAGAGUGUUCCCUGGAGUGCUUAUGUCCUCUCAGGCCAAACAUCAGGCUCAGUGUGUGUCCACAGUGUCUUGGAGCUUGUUUAAAAGUAAAACAAUUUUUUCAUGUAAGAACUGUAAUACUGAAGUCAGACCUUGUGCCAUCCACAGUGAUGGAUAGCAAAGCGUGGCCUUUCCACACAGCAGCAGAGCAGCCCAGGUGAUGGGAGAGCAUGUGGUGAGUGAAUUUUCUACCCACACUGUUCCCAGAUAAGAUUUUUCUGAGUCAUGCCUUAAGUUUUAGCUUUUAUAUUUUUCAGAUUCUGUACUGCUUUGGUGUGUAGUUCUG